ensembl:lncRNA LINC02864 long intergenic non-protein coding RNA 2864
GAGUAGCUGGAACUACAGGCGCCCGCCAUGAUGCCCGGCUCAUUUUCUGUGUUUUCAGUAGAGACGGGGUUUCACUGUGUUAGCCAGGAAAGUCUUGAUCUCCUGACCUCGUGAUCCUGACCUCGGCCUCCCAAAGUGCUGGGAUUACAGGCGCGAGCCACCGCGCCCGACAGCAGUUAUGAAGUUCUAAAAGCAAGUCUUAAUCAGGAAGUGUCCUUGAUCACCAACGGCUCGCCCAGGCAUGCUGGCUCUCUUCCACUUCCACCUUCCACCAUGGGAUGACGCAGUAAGAAGGCCAUCAGUAGAUGCCAGUCCCUCAACCUUGAACUUUCCAGACGCAGAACUUUAUGCCUCCAUUUUCCUCUGCUGCAUGGCCCCAGGAGAGAUUUUAAUUAGCUUUCUAACCUUGGUCCAGAUUGCACAUGCAAAUGGUAGAGGAUGCAACACCCCCGCUUGUGGAGCUGCCGCUUGUGUCUGGCAUGGAUGCCCCUUCUAGAUGUUCAUGGCUCACUCCCUGCCAUGUUGUCAGGUAUUUGAGCUCUCUGUUCCCACUCAGAGUAGAUGAGCAGAAGAGGAAAUGAGGGCCUUCCCAGAGCAACUCCCCCAGAUGAACAGAGCCAGGCUGCCUGGAUUCAAUGUUAUCUUCAUUUCUUAGCUGUAUCAUCACGAGUUGUUUAAUUCCUCAGCACUUAAUUUUCUUGACCUGCAAAAAUAUGGAUCAUAAUGAUCAUUAACUAAUAAGUUUGCCAUGAGGAUUAACUGUAUAUUAAGGGCUGAUAAAAUUAUAUGUUACAAAGUAAGUGCUCAAUGAAUAUUACUCAUAACAUUAUGUAAUUAAAUUUUUCUGUUAACCUCAGGAGAAAAUUCUUGGGAGAAUGUGAAAAAUGGAUUUAAAAGUUAAGUCAUUUAGGUUACAAUAUUGAAGCAAUUGUGUGUAUAUAGCAUAUGCAUUGUAUAUGCCAGGGUUAUAUUUUUUUGCAUUGGCACAUUUAUUUUAAUAAUUCAACAGUAUCGAUACAACACUGAUUACCAUUAAAAUACAAAUGUAUAUUUUGCUUUGGAAAUAGAGCCAAUGCAGUUAUUCCAAUAAUAUGCUUCAAUUAUUAGUCACUUAAAAGAUAAAAUAUUAACGGUGAGGAGGGUAAAGAAAAAUCAGUAUAAUAAAAUUGAUUCCCAGUAACAAAUCCCUUCCUUUUCACUCUGUAACCAGCCCAGUCUCUCUGGCUUCAUAUUGUUCUGUUUUGUUUUGCUUUGUUUGUUCAGUGCUGUUUAUAUUUAGAUUUUUCACAAAAUAAAUUCUCUUUUUAAACAAA